UAACACGUAGGGGGCGAGCGUUGUUCGGAAUCAUUGGGCGUAAAGGGUGCGCAGGCGGCCGUCCAAGUCUGGUGUGAAAUACCCCGGCCCAACCGGGGGGACGCGCUGGAAACUGGAUGGCUUGAGUACAGGAGGGGGAGUCGGAAUUCCAGGUGUAGGGGUGAAAUCUGUAGAUAUCUGGAAGAACACCGGUGGCGAAGGCGGACUCCUGGCCAUGUACUGACGCUGAGGCACGAAGGCGUGGGGAGCAAACAGG
rnacentral:rRNA from 1 species